rnacentral:rRNA from 1 species
AUUGAACGCUGGCGGCAGGCCUAACACAUGCAAGUCGAGCGGAUGAGUGGAGCUUGCCCCAUGAUUCAGCGGCGGACGGGUGAGUAAUGCCCAGGAAUCUGCCUGGUAGUGGGGGACGACGUUUCGAAAGGAACGCUAAUACCGCAUACGUCCUACGGGAGAAAGUGGGGGAUCUUCGGACCUCACGCUAUCAGAUGAGCCUAGGUCGGAUUAGCUAGUUGGUGAGGUAAAGGCUCACCAAGGCGACGAUCCGUAACUGGUCUGAGAGGAUGAUCAGGCACACUGGAACUGAGACACGGUCCAGACUCCUACGGGAGGCAGCAGUGGGGAAUGUUGGACAAUGGGCGAAAGCCUGAUCCAGCCAUGCCGCGUGUGUGAAGAAGGUCUUCGGAUUGUAAAGCACUUUAAGUUGGGAGGAAGGGCAGUAAGUUAAUACCUUGCUGUUUUGACGUUACCAACAGAAUAAGCACCGGCUAACUUCGUGCCAGCAGCCGCCGUAACAC